rnacentral:rRNA from 1 species
UACCCGCAGCACACGUGGUGGUCAUUAUUCUUGGGCCUAAAGCGUCCGUAGCUGGCUUGUUAGAUGCCUGGGUAAAUCGAUGCGCUUAACGCAUCGAAUUCCGGGUAGACCGGCAAGCUCGAGACCGGGAGAGGUGUAGGGUACUCGGGGGGUAGGGGUAAAAUCCUGUAAUCCUCCGGGGACGACCAGUGGCGAAGGCGCUACACUAGAACGGCUCUGACAGUGAGGGACGAAGCCCUGGGGCGCAAACCGG